rnacentral:rRNA from 1 species
UUGUAGUCAUAACUUGUUUUCAAAGAUUAACCCAUCCAGUUUUAAGAAUAACCAAUUAAUCCAGGGAACUUGGGAAGGGUCCAUUAAUCCAGUUAUGGUUUAUUGAAUAGUCCCUUAUUCCUGGAAUACCGGGGGUAUUUUUAGAGUUAAUCCAUGUUAAAAUUCCCGCCUUUGGAAGGGAAGGUAUUUAUUAAAUAAAAACCCAAUCCUUUCGGGCUUCUUGGUGAUUCAUGAUAACUUUACGAAUCGCAUGGCCUUGUGCCGGCGAUGGUUCAUUCAAAUUUCUGCCCUAUCAACUUCGAUGUAU